rnacentral:lncRNA from 1 species
UAGUGACUGUCACCAGCUGAGGCUUUGGUUUAAGAAAACCUAAUAAAAACCUCCCAGGGAACUUGGCUCUCUGAACAGCGGCUGAGGGAAGCCACCCCUUCGUGCCCAGUCUCGCAAUGACCACACCGCGGGACAGCGAAUGGCAAGGUUACUGCAUGCGCUCCAGCUCAACCCCAGCUGCCGUUUCAAUUGUAACGAGAUAUCUUAUUAUUUUUAUGCCACUUAAUCCACAAAUGUAACCUGGGCAGUAACAAUCUGAGAAGAUCAGUCCUAUUAAUAAGCUCCUUGUUUCUCCAAUACCUUGGAGAUAUCAAGGUAUCGGAGAUACCAGCACACCUUGUGUGGACAUGAGUGCCCAUGUGCGCAUCCAGGAUUUGAAGAGGAGCUCCUGGCAGGGGUAAGGCCAAAGACUGCCCAGGCCACCCAACAAAGCGGGCAGAAGGGGGUGGCUGGAUCGUAAAGCUGCCAUGGAGGGAGGACGGGAAGUUUGGCCAUACCCCCGCUAGAAAGGGCAGGGCACACAAGAGCCCGAGAAGCGGAGGUUGGAACAGCGGCUCUGUUCUGUCUUACAGGAGCAAAGGUACCCAGGACAUGGCUGUAGCAAGGCUCCUGCAGAGGAAAGGGAAAUGCAAGACCUUUCUGAUGAAAUAACUGUCCAUCUUCCCCUGAAUGAAUGCUGCCCUGCUUUGCCCUCCAGGAAGAGGUCCAGAGAUUUCACCAAUUCUGCCUUGGAUCAUAGACAGAGAGAGGAAAUUGCCCUUUCCUCCAGCUUUUCCUUCCCCUUCUCUGGAGAUUGACGUGCUCUUGUCGACAUGGACCGCAACAACACGGUUGUGUUUCAGGUCGUGCCUUCGCUGA